ACACGUCAACACAGACAAGUUUUCCAUGACUUGCUCUGCUGCUUGGAUGUUGAAGGCCUGCUGGCGUUCACUAUCGUCAGCUCCUUUUAAAUUCAUUAGCAGGAAAUUACGCAAAACUGGCUUCAGUUUGAUAAGAUUGAACUGUUGCCAAAGAAUUGCCAAUUAUUUUUCCAGCUUCUAACUGUCCGGUUAACUGGACUGUCUCAUCCUUGUGAGGCAAUAUCACCAAUGACA
rnacentral:misc_RNA from 1 species